UACGGAGGGAGCUAGCGUUGUUCGGAAUUACUGGGCGUAAAGCGCGCGUAGGCGGCUUUGUAAGUUAGAGGUGAAAGCCCGGGGCUCAACCCCGGAACUGCCUUUAAAACUGCAUCGCUUGAAUCCGGGAGAGGAGAGUGGAAUUCCUGGUGUAGCGGUGAAAUGCGCAGAUAUCAGGAAGAACACCCGUGGCGAAGGCGGCUCUCUGGGACGGUACUGACGCUGAGACGCGAAAGCGUGGGGAGCGAACAGG
rnacentral:rRNA from 1 species